rnacentral:rRNA from 1 species
UUAAGAAAGAAAGAGUGCACGGUGGAUGCCUAGGCACUAGGAGCCGAAGAAGGACGCGACGAACAGCGAAAUGCUACGGGGAGUUGUAAGUAAACUAAGAUCCGUAGAUAUCCGAAUGAGGAAACUCACUAGCAAGAAGAGCUAGUACCAGAUGGUGAAUACAUAGCCAAUCUGGAGGGAGACCCAGAGAACUGAAACAUCUUAGUAUCUGGAGGAAAAGAAAGCAAUUAGCGAUUCCCUAAGUAGAGGCGAUUGAACGGGGAACAGCCCGUUACGAUAAGGAGUUAAAAAAUAUUAAUAUAGUUGAACUAUCUUGGAAUAAUAGACGAAACAAGGUGAAAGUCCUGUAGACGAAAUGUUAAUAUCUCCAGUAACAAAGAGUAGGGCGGGGCACGUGGAAUCCUGUCCGAACAAAGCGAGGACCAUCUCGUAAGGCUAAAUACUACCUAGUGACCGAUAGUGAACCAGUACCGUGAGGGAAAGGUGAAAAGAACCCCGGAAGGGGAGUGAAAGAGAACCUGAAACCGUGUGCCUACAACUAGUCAGAGCCCGUUAAUGGGUGAUGGCGUGCCUUUUGUAGAAUGAACCGGCGAGUUACGAUAAUUUGCAAGGUUAAGCUUUAAGGAGCGGAGCCGAAGCGAAAGCGAGUCUUAAGAGGGCGAGUUAGUAGAUUGUCGUAGACCCGAAACCGAGUGAUCUAGCCAUGUGCAGGUUGAAGCUUGGGUAAAACCAGGUGGAGGACCGAACCAGGGUCUGUUGCAAUAGACUUGGAUGACGUGUGGCUAGGGGUGAAAUUCCAAUCGAACUCGGAAAUAGCUGGUUCUCCCCGAAAUAGCUUUAGGGCUAGCGUUGUAAUGAAAAUUUUAUGGAGGUAGAGCACUGAAUGUGUGAUGGUCUCACCUCGAGAUACUGAUCUCAAUUAAACUUCGAAUGCCAUAAAAUAUGUACAGCAGUCAGACUGCGAGUGAUAAGGCCCGUAGUCAAAAGGGAAACAGCCCAGACCGCCAGUUAAGGUCCCGAAAUCUAUGCUAAGUGGGAAAGGAAGUGGAGUCGUAGAGACAACUAGGAGGUUGGCUUAGAAGCAGCCAUCCUUUAAAGAGUGCGUAAUAGCUCACUAGUCGAAUGAUUCUGCGCCGAAAAUGUAACGGGGCUAAGCAUAGUACCGAAGCUGCGGAAUUUAUAGUAAUAUAAAUUGGUAGGGGAGCGUACUUAGUGCAGAGAAGUUAGACCGGAAGGACUAAUGGAGCGCUAAGCAGUGAGAAUGCCGGUGUGAGUAACGAAAAGAUAGGUGAGAAUCCUAUCCGUCGAAAGCCUAAGGUUUCCAGGGGAAGGCUCGUCCGCCCUGGGUAAGUCGGGUCCUAAGGUGAGGCUGAAGAGCGUAGCCGAUGGACAACAGGUUGAGAUUCCUGUACCACCUAAUUAACUGAAGGAGUGACGGAGAAGGCUAACCAGAGCUAAUUAGUGGAUUUUAGUUUAAGCACAAAGGUGGGCAUAUAGGUAAACCCGUAUGCUAAUAAACAUUGAAGUGUGAAGACGCAAGUCUGGUGAAGCCACGCUUCCAAGAAAAGUUUCUAAGGCUAAUUAAUUAGGUGCCCGUACCGUAAACGGACACACGUAGGCGAGGAGAGAAUCCAAAGACGCGCGAGAUAACUCUUGUUAAGGAACUCUGCAAAAUUACCCCGUAACUUCGGAAUAAGGGGGACUCAUUAGUGAUAAUGAGUCGCAGAUAAUAGGCCCAAGCGACUGUUUACCAAAAACAUAGGUCUCUGCUAAACCGCAAGGUGAAGUAUAGGGGCUGACGCCUGCCCAGUGCUGGAAGGUUAAGAGGAGGAGUUAGGAGCAAUCCGAAGCUUUGAAUUGAAGCCCCAGUAAACGGCGGCCGUAACUAUAACGGUCCUAAGGUAGCGAAAUUCCUUGUCGGGUAAGUUCCGACCCGCACGAAAGGCGUAACGAUUUGGGCGCUGUCUCAACUCGAGACUCGGUGAAAUCAUACUACCUGUGAAGAUGCAGGUUACCCGCGACUAGACGGAAAGACCCCAUGGAGCUUCACUGCAACUUGAUAUUGGUAUUGGGUAUUGGAUGUACAGGAUAGGUGGGAGACGAAGAGACCGGGACGCUAGUUUCGGAAGAGUCACCGUUGGGAUACCACCCUUUUAAUAUUUAGUAUCUAACUAGUAGUCAAAAGCGGGCUAUAGAACAGUGUCAGGUGGGCAGUUUGACUGGGGCGGUCGCCUCCUAAAGAGUAACGGAGGCGCCCAAAGGU